CCUACGGGUGGCAGCAGUGGGGAAUAUUGGACAAUGGGCGAAAGCCUGAUCCAGCCAUGCCGCGUGUGUGAAGAAGGCCUUCGGGUUGUAAAGCACUUUCAGUGGGGAAGAAAGCCUUGGGGCUAAUACCCUCGAGGUAGGACAUCACCCACAGAAGAAGCACCGGCUAACUCCGUGCCAGCAGCCGCGGUAAUACGGAGGGUGCGAGCGUUAAUCGGAAUUACUGGGCGUAAAGCGCGCGUAGGCGGUCUGAUAAGCCGGUUGUGAAAGCCCCGGGCUCAACCUGGGAACGGCAUCCGGAACUGUCAGGCUAGAGUGCAGGAGAGGAAGGUAGAAUUCCCGGUGUAGCGGUGAAAUGCGUAGAGAUCGGGAGGAAUACCAGUGGCGAAGGCGGCCUUCUGGACUGACACUGACGCUGAGGUGCGAAAGCGUGGGUAGCAAACAGGAUUAGAUACCCGAGUAGUC
rnacentral:rRNA from 1 species